rnacentral:rRNA from 1 species
UAGUUGCAAGGUAUAGACCCGAAACCCGGUGAUCUAGCCAUGGGCAGGUUGAAGGUUGAGUAACAUCAACUGGAGGACCGAACCCACUAACGUUGAAAAGUUAGGGGAUGACCUGUGGCUAGGAGUGAAAGGCUAAUCAAACCGGGAGAUAGCUGGUUCUCCCCGAAAUCUAUUUAGGUAGAGCCUCGGACGAAUACUUACGGGGGUAGAGCACUGUUAAGGCUAGGGGGUCAUCCCGACUUACCAACCCUUUGCAAACUCCGAAUACCGUAAAGUAAUAUCCGGGAGACACACGGCGGGUGCUAACGUCCGUCGUGAAGAGGGAAACAACCCAGACCGCCAGCUAAGGUCCCAAAGUCAUAGUUAAGUGGGAAACGAUGUGGAAAGGCCCAGACAGCCAGGAGGUUGGCUUAGAAGCAGCCAUCCUUUAAAGAAAGCGUAAUAGCUCACUGGUCGAGUCGGUCUGCGCGGAAGAUGUAACGGGGCUAAACUAUGCACCGAAGCUGCGGAUUCAGAAUUUAUUCUGAGUGGUAGGGGAGCGUUCUGUAAGCGGUUGAAGGUGUACCGGGAGGUAUGCUGGACGUAUCAGAAGUGCGAAUGCUGACAUGAGUAACGAUAAUGCGGGUGAAAAACCCGCACGCCGGAAGACCAAGGGUUCCUAUCCCAUGUUAAUCAGGGUAGGGUAAGUCGACCCCUAAGGCGAGGCCGAAAGGCGUAGUCGAUGGGAAACGGAUUAAUAUUUCCGUACUUGGUAUAAUUGCGAUGGGGGGACGGAGCAGGCUAAGCAAGCAUGGCGUUGGUAGUCCAUGUGAAAGUGAGUAGGCUAGCGACUUAGGUAAAUCCGGGUUGCUGUUAGGCUGAGACACGAGACGAGUCACUAAGGUGAUGAAGUUGCUGAUGCCAUACUUCCAGGAAAAGCCUCUAAGCUUCAGAUUAUACCGAAUCGUACCCCAAACCGACACAGGUGGUCAGGUAGAGAAUACUAAGGCGCUUGAGAGAACUCGGGUGAAGGAACUAGGCAAAAUCGUACCGUAACUUCGGGAGAAGGUACGCUCCGAUUGGUGAUGAGACUUGCUCUCUAAGCUGAUUGGAGCCGCAGUGACCAGGUGGCUGGGACUGUUUAUUAAAAACACAGCACUGUGCAAAAUCGCAAGAUGACGUAUACGGUGUGACACCUGCCCGGUGCCGGAAGGUUAAUUGAUGGGGUUAUCUUCGGAGAAGCUCUUGAUCGAAGCCCCGGUAAACGGCGGCCGUAACUAUAACGGUCCUAAGGUAGCGAAAUUCCUUGUCGGGUAAGUUCCGACCUGCACGAAUGGUGUAACCAUGGCCACGCUGUCUCCACCCGAGACUCAGUGAAAUUGAAAUCGCAGUGAAGAUGCUGUGUACCCGCGGCUAGACGGAAAGACCCCGUGAACCUUUACUACAGCUUGGCACUGAACAUUGAACCUACAUGUGUAGGAUAGGUGGGAGACUUAGAAGAUGAGACGCUAGUUUUGUUGGAGUCGUCCUUGAAAUACCACCCUUGUAGUUUUGAUGUUCUAACGUUGGCCCCUGAAUCGGGGUUACGGACAGUGCCUGGUGGGUAGUUUGACUGGGGCGGUCUCCUCCCAAAGAGUAACGGAGGAGCACGAAGGUUGGCUAAGUACGGUCGGACAUCGUACGGUUAGUGUAAUGGUAGAAGCCAGCUUAACUGCGAGACAGACACGUCGAGCAGGUACGAAAGUAGGUCAUAGUGAUCCGGUGGUUCUGAAUGGAAGGGCCAUCGCUCAACGGAUAAAAGGUACUCCGGGGAUAACAGGCUGAUACCGCCCAAGAGUUCAUAUCGACGGCGGUGUUUGGCACCUCGAUGUCGGCUCAUCACAUCCUGGGGCUGAAGUCGGUCCCAAGGGUAUGGCUGUUCGCCAUUUAAAGUGGUACGCGAGCUGGGUUUAGAACGUCGUGAGACAGUUCGGUCCCUAUCUGCCGUGGGCGUUUGAGAAUUGAGAGGGGUUGCUCCUAGUACGAGAGGACCGGAGUGAACGAACCGCUGGUGUUCGGGUUGUCAUGCCAAUGGCAUUGCCCGGUAGCUACGUUCGGAACUGAUAAGCGCUGAAAGCAUCUAAGCGCGAAGCAGGCCUCGAGAUGAGUUCUCACUAGAGCUAUAAGCUCUCUGAAGGGCCGUUGAAGACUACAACGUUGAUAGGCAAGAUGUGGAAGCAUAGUGAUAUGUUAAGCUAACUUGUACUAAUUACCCGUGAGGCUUAACCAUACAACGCCAAACGCGUUU